rnacentral:tRNA from 1 species
GUUGUAGCUCAAGUGGUAGAGCACCUGCUGAACAAGCAGGAGGCCCUGGGUUUGAUCCCCAGUACUAACA